rnacentral:rRNA from 1 species
AUGUCAGCAAGACCUCUAUCAGGUUCAAAGUUCCUAGAUAGGCCGUUUCAGCAUGCUUGUAGGAGAUGCUGGUUCUGUAGCAGAUGCCUGGUUUUUUAUGCCGUUUUGAUGCCAGAUAGGCCGACAUUACUCUUUUUUCCUCCAUUCGGUUGCACCUACCAUCUCAAUAUCAUCAUCCACUGCUUGCCUGGACCAACGCCCAGCUGCCACCACUUCAGUGCGCCGUGCCGACCUGUGCGUGCAUGGCAGCAUGGGUCGUCGACAUUGUUGAAAAUUUCUGAAGGUUUUUCCUGGUGCGUGCAGGUGGUGUCGACGGAGGCCCGGGCGAUGCACAAUGUGGGGUUGGCAGGGUUGACCUUCUGGAGCCCCAACAUCAACAUCUUCCGGGACCCGCGGUGGGGCCGGGGCCAGGAGACGCCCGGCGAGGACCCGCUGCUGGCCAGCAAGUACGCCGUCGGAUACAUCACGGGCUCCAGGACGCCGGCGCCGGCGGCGUCACCGACGGCGCGCUCAAGGUCGCCGCAUGCUGCAAGCACUACACUGCCUACGACGUCGACAACUGGAAGGGCAUCGAGCGAUACACCUUCAACGCAAAGUUUGUUUCCAGCGACAGCAGAGAGAUGUACUCCAGCAGAGGAUCAAAUGAUCAGAGAGAGGAGAUGA